rnacentral:rRNA from 1 species
UACGUAGGGUGCAAGCGUUAAUCGGAAUUACUGGGCGUAAAGCGUGCGCAGGCGGUUGUGCAAGACAGAUGUGAAAUCCCCGGGCUUAACCUGGGAAUUGCAUUUGUGACUGCACGGCUAGAGUGUGUCAGAGGGGGGUAGAAUUCCACGUGUAGCAGUGAAAUGCGUAGAGAUGUGGAGGAAUACCGAUGGCGAAGGCAGCCCCCUGGGAUAACACUGACGCUCAGGCACGAAAGCGUGGGGAGCAAACAGG